rnacentral:rRNA from 1 species
ACCUUCAACGUUGCUUCGGCGGGUUGGCCCCGGUCUCCGGGGUCCCCGGCCCUACUCGGGCGCCCGCCGGAGGUAUCUAACUCUUGAACUUUUAUGGCCUCUCUGAGUCUUUGUACUUAAUAAGUCAAAACUUUCAACAACGGAUCUCUUGGUUCUGGCAUCGAUGAAGAACGCAGCGAAAUGCGAUAAGUAAUGUGAAUUGCAGAAUUCAGUGAAUCAUCGAAUCUUUGAACGCACAUUGCGCCCGCCAGUAUUCUGGCGGGCAUGCCUGUUCGAGCGUCAUUUCAACCAUCAAGCCCCCGGCUUGUGUUGGGGACCUGCGGCUGCCGCAGGCCCUGAAAACCAGUGGCGGGCUCGCUAGUCACUCCGAGCGUAGUAAUACAUCUCGCUCAGGGCGUGCUGCGGGUUCCGGCCGUUAAAAAGCCUUAUUUACCCAAGGUUGACCUCGGAUCAGGUAGGAAGACCCGCUGAACUUAAGCA